AUUGAACGCUGGCGGCAGGCCUAACACAUGCAAGUCGAGCGAGCGGCGGACGGGUGAGUAAUGUAUGGGGACUGCCCGAUAGAGGGGGAUAACUACUGGAAACGGUAUCUAAUACAGCAUACUAUCGGAUAACCCAUAUGGGAUUAGCGAGUAUGUGAGGUAAGGGCUCACCUAGGCGACGCUCCCUAGCUGGUCUGAGAGGAUGACCAGCCACACUGGGACUGAGACACGGGCCAGACUCCUACGGAGGCAGCAGUGGGGAAUAUUGCACAAUGGGCGAAAGCCUGAUGCAGCCAUGCCGCGUGUAUGAAGAAGGCCCUCGGGUUGUAAAGUACUUUCAGCCGGGAGGCGUUACCGACAGAAGAAGCACCGGCUAACUCCGUGCCAGCAGCCGCGGUAAUUC
rnacentral:rRNA from 1 species